rnacentral:ncRNA from 1 species
GGCCAUUUCGUUCCGUACGGCGGCAUAUUUUGGGGGAGGAGGCGCGAAACCGCCCCCAGAGGAACCGCUUUCGCGGGACGGUCCCGGCACGGAUGUUCGGGACAAGU